UACGUAGGUGGCGAGCGUUGUCCGGAUUUACUGGGCGUAAAGAGCGCGCAGGCGGUCGUUCAAGUCGCGUGUGAAAGCCCCCGGCUCAACUGGGGAGGGUCACGCGAUACUGAUCGACUCGAAGGCAGGAGAGGGUAGUGGAAUUCCCGGUGUAGUGGUGAAAUGCGUAGAUAUCGGGAGGAACACCAGUGGCGAAGGCGACUACCUGGAGCUUUGCUGACGCUGAUGCGCGAAAGCGUGGGGAGCGAUCCGG
rnacentral:rRNA from 1 species